rnacentral:rRNA from 1 species
AGCGAACGCUGGCGGCAGGCCUAACACAUGCAAGUCGAACGAACCUUUCGGGGUUAGUGGCGGACGGGGGAGUAACACGUGGGAACGUGCCUUUAGGUUCGGAAUAACUCAGGGAAACUUGUGCUAAUACCGAAUGUGCCCUUCGGGGGAAAGAUUUAUCGCCUUUAGAGCGGCCCGCGUCCGAUUAGCUAGUUGGUUGAGGUAAUGGCUCACCAAGGCGACGAUCAGUAGCUGGUCUGAGAGGAUGAUCAGCCACAUUGGGACUGAGACACGGCCCAAACUCCUACGGGAGGCAGCAGUGGGGAAUCUUGCGCAAUGGGCGAAAGCCUGACGCAGCCAUGCCGCGUGAAUGAUGAAGGUCUUAGGAUUGUAAAAUUCUUUAACCGGGGACGAUAAUGACGGUACCCGGAGAAGAAGCCCCGGCUAACUUCGUG